rnacentral:rRNA from 1 species
AGUGAACGCUGGCGGUAGGCCUAACACAUGCAAGUCGAACGGCAGCACAGUAAGAGCUUGCUCUUACGGGUGGCGAGUGGCGGACGGGUGAGGAAUACAUCGGAAUCUACUUUUUCGUGGGGGGUAACGUAGGGAAACUUACGCUAAUACCGCAUACGACCUACGGGUGAAAGCAGGGGAUCUUCGGACCUUGCGCGAUUGAAUGAGCCGAUGUCGGAUUAGCUAGUUGGCGGGGUAAAGGCCCACCAAGGCGACGAUCCGUAGCUGGUCUGAGAGGAUGAUCAGCCACACUGGAACUGAGACACGGUCCAGACUCCUACGGAAGGCAGCAGUGGGGAAUAUUGGACAAUGGGCGCAAGCCUGAUCCAGCCAUACCGCGUGGGUGAAGAAGGCCUUCGGGUUGUAAAGCCCUUUUGUUGGGAAAGAAAAGCAGCAGGUUAAUACCCCGCUGUUCUGACGGUACCCAAAGAAUAAGCACCGGCUAACUUCGUG